rnacentral:rRNA from 1 species
CAAGUCGAGCGGUAGAGAGAAGCUUGCUUCUCUUGAGAGCGGCGGACGGGUGAGUAAUGCCUAGGAAUCUGCCUGGUAGUGGGGGAUAACGUUCGGAAACGGACGCUAAUACCGCAUACGUCCUACGGGAGAAAGCAGGGGACCUUCGGGCCUUGCGCUAUCAGAUGAGCCUAGGUCGGAUUAGCUAGUUGGUGAGGUAAUGGCUCACCAAGGCGACGAUCCGUAACUGGUCUGAGAGGAUGAUCAGUCACACUGGAACUGAGACACGGUCCAGACUCCUACGGGAGGCAGCAGUGGGGAAUAUUGGACAAUGGGCGAAAGCCUGAUCCAGCCAUGCCGCGUGUGUGAAGAAGGUCUUCGGAUUGUAAAGCACUUUAAGUUGGGAGGAAGGGUUGUAGAUUAAUACUCUGCAAUUUUGACGUUACCGACAGAAUAAGCACCGGCUAACUCUGUGCCAGCAGCCGCGGUAAUACAGAGGGUGCAAGCGUUAAUCGGAAUUACUGGGCGUAAAGCGCGCGUAGGUGGUUUGUUAAGUUGGAUGUGAAAUCCCCGGGCUCAACCUGGGAACUGCAUUCAAAACUGACUGACUAGAGUAUGGUAGAGGGUGGUGGAAUUUCCUGUGUAGCGGUGAAAUGCGUAGAUAUAGGAAGGAACACCAGUGGCGAAGGGCGACCACCUGGACUAAUACUGACACUGAGGUGCGAAAAGCGUGGGGGAGCAAACAGGAUUAGAUACCCUGGUAGUCCACGCCGUAAACGAUGUCAACUAGCCGUUGGAAGCCUUGAGCUUUUAGUGGCGCAGCUAACGCAUUAAGUUGACCGCCUGGGGAGUACGGCCGCAAGGUUAAAACUCAAAUGAAUUGACGGGGGCCCGCACAAGCGGUGGAGCAUGUGGUUUAAUUCGAAGCAACGCGAAGAACCUUACCAGGCCUUGACAUCCAAUGAACUUUCUAGAGAUAGAUUGGUGCCUUCGGGAACAUUGAGACAGGUGCUGCAUGGCUGUCGUCAGCUCGUGUCGUGAGAUGUUGGGUUAAGUCCCGUAACGAGCGCAACCCUUGUCCUUAGUUACCAGCACGUAAUGGUGGGCACUCUAAGGAGACUGCCGGUGACAAACCGGAGGAAGGUGGGGAUGACGUCAAGUCAUCAUGGCCCUUACGGCCUGGGCUACACACGUGCUACAAUGGUCGGUACAGAGGGUUGCCAAGCCGCGAGGUGGAGCUAAUCCCAUAAAACCGAUCGUAGUCCGGAUCGCAGUCUGCAACUCGACUGCGUGAAGUCGGAAUCGCUAGUAAUCGCGAAUCAGAAUGUCGCGGUGAAUACGUUCCCGGGCCUUGUACACACCGCCCGUCACACCAUGGGAGUGGGUUGCACCAGAAGUAGCUAGUCUAACCUUCGGGAGGACGGUUACCACGG